rnacentral:lncRNA from 1 species
CUUAACCGUGUGCCAACGAGAUCGUGGAUCUCCACCGUCAAAUGGAUCAUGACGAUGGCGUGCUGGCGAUAGCCAUCAGCAUCUAAGGAGGUAAGAUGGUGGAGUAGAGUCCAGAUCGAGUUUGUUCUAUAGGGAUGUUGGGACUUGGGAGGAAAGAAGGGUGCCGGUCGUCGAUAGAAGGGAUGUGCGGAAGAGGAAGGGACGCGCUCUAAGAGCACGAAGAGUUGACGAACUCGAAAAAACAAAUCGCAUGCACGG